UACGGAGGGUGCAAGCGUUUAUCCGGAUUCACUGGGUUUAAAGGGUGCGUAGGUGGGCAGUUAAGUCAGUGGUGAAAUCUCCGGGCUUAACCCGGAAACUGCCAUUGAUACUAUCUGUCUUGAAUAUCGUGGAGGUAAGCGGAAUAUGUCAUGUAGCGGUGAAAUGCUUAGAUAUGACAUAGAACACCAAUUGCGAAGGCAGCUUACUACCCGAAUAUUGACACUGAGGCACGAAAGCGUGGGGAUCAAACAGG
rnacentral:rRNA from 1 species